rnacentral:lncRNA from 1 species
UGAAGGGGGCUAUGCAUAUGUGUGGUGAGAGGAUAUUGGGGACCUAUGUUCCUUCUACCCAAUUUUGGGAUGAACCUAAAGGUUUUUUACAAAAUGAUUUUGUGAGUACUGAUUAUCCUGGAAAUUCCUGUUCUGUGUGUGGUAUACGCAUUGCAGGCAUGGGCAUUAAAUUUAUACUAUAAGUUGUCAGAGAAGCCUGUGCACCGUGUAUUGAAAUAA